rnacentral:piRNA from 1 species
UCCUGUGCUCGAGCUACUUGGAUAGCUU